UACAGAGGUCUCAAGCGUUGUUCGGAUUCAUUGGGCGUAAAGGGCGCGUAGGCGGCGGGGUAAGUCGGGUGUGAAAUCUCAGGGCUCAACCCUGAAACUGCACUCGAUACUGCUCUGCUUGAGGACUGGAGAGGAGACUGGAAUUCACGGUGUAGCAGUGAAAUGCGCAGAUAUCGGAAGGAACGUCGGUGGCGAAAGCGGCGCGCUGGACCUCUUCUGACGCUGAGGCGCGAAAGCCAGGGGAGCGAACGGG
rnacentral:rRNA from 1 species